CAAAGUCCGUUUUCUCCUGGAACGGCUGUUCCCUCUUCUCUCUGUGGUUUGGCUGGGACGCCAUCCCUGUUCCAGGGCUCUUGGGACCUGGGGGGAUGAGAUCAUCAGCUCCCCCCGCUGGUCACCGUGAUGUGUUGUUAUCACCUGCAUCCAGGCCUGACCAACCGGUCCAUCUCAGUGACCGGUUUAGAGGUGUGUGUACUCGAACCGAGCUGGGACAGCGGGAUACGACUCUGGAACUUUCAUCCCGAUGUUGACAAGAAAGGAGACCCAUCUUCCCACUGAACCUGAAGCGGAUGGGCCUUCUGUAACCCAAGACCUGCUGGGAGCACCAAGUGGACGGAGCGUGGCCAAGAGGGCAGCCAGUAUUGCCGAAGGCUGAUCGAGAGGCGGACGGAGUCUUCACCCUGUUUGAGAUUCUCUGUCCAUCCCUGCCUGAAGCCUGUGAACCCAACCAUGAGACAAGCCUGGACUGACCUGCCCGAGGAUGAAAAUCCACACAGAGGAGAGCGGAGCCAUUUCUCCAGAGGCUGUCCUAGACCCGCCAGCCCCAAGCAAUCUGCUAGCUUCCCAAGAGGAAUAAGUGAGCUCAGGUGUCAUUAGGUGGGCCUGGCCCAUCCAGAAGAUACACUAAGCCAACCUACAGACUUGUGAGUGGACGCAAAUGGGUACUGCUUUCAGCCACUGGGCUUUGUGGCUUUUUGUUAUAUAGAACUACCAAGGCAAUAGUGGUUCGAAAUCAAAAUUUUGUAAUUCUGCAAUUCUAAAGGUCUUCGCUUUCAUCUCUUAUUAGCAAUCCUGAAUUCACAGGUAGCAGAUUCAGGUGUGAACGUAACCGUUGCUUUAUUUUUUCUGGACUGAAUUGAUUUCCUCUUCCGAGCCCCUGUUCCAUCAUGAGGCGGGCAAUUAGUUACUUAAUUUUUGGUUGAUUCCAGGCAAUGUAGGCCACCACAUUUAUGGCAGAUGUUAUUUCUUACCACUACUCCACUUCUCUCCUCCUGAGUGAACAGGAGGACAGCACCUCCCCACCUCCUUGAAGGUAGGUGUGACCAGAGGACUGUUUUUGGCCAAUGAAAUGGGAGCAGGAACCGGUCACUUCUGGGAAGAAGCAUUUAGGAGUUUCUGUGCAGUUGUCCGUGUUCUUUCUUUCUCUUCUUUCAAUCGUGGAGGGAUAGGUUGUUACAUAAAUGCCACAAAACUGAAGUACCUUGAAUGCCAGGUUACCACAAGGGGGUCUUCUGCCUCAGGGGGUUGCCUGGACAUGUACUUGGUUUUUCAUGAGCAGGAAAGAAACUUUUGUUUCUUAAUUUUCUCACAAUUAUGGAGGCUGGAAGUCCAAGAUCAAGAUGUCUCCAGGUUCGGUUUCUUCUGAGGCCUCUCCCCGCUUGGUGUGCAGACGGCCGUCUUCUCCCUGUGGUCCGACAUGGUCUUUUCUCUAUUCAUGUGUCCCCAGUGUCUCUCUGUGUGUCCAAAAAAAAAUUUUUUUUUUUUAAAUAAAGAAAGCGAUGGUUUUGGAUUAGGGCCCGCCCAACUUAAUCACUUAAGCCCCAUUUUAACUUAAUCACUACUUGAAAGAACCCUAUUUCCAAUAUAGUCACAUUCUGAGGGGCUGGGCAUUAGGACUUUGACAUAUGAAUGCGACCCCAUAAAUCCUGGAAAUGUACAUUCUAAAGGCGCUUAAGUAGGACUAGAGAGUCAGUGGAUGGUUGGGGUGGGGUCAGCGCGUUGACUUUACGGUCCACUGAUGGAGUGUUUAGUGUUGUGUGGUCCACACAUAUUACUCCUACGUUGCUUGUCCUGACCCAGACAGCUCUGUUGGCUAUAUCUGCAUCAUUCCUGGCCCCACGGAGGAAAAGCAAACCAUCCUGGGCACACCGGCGUGAAGAAGCAGAUGAGAGCCUUCCCAGGCCCAUCUGAUUGGGGAUUUGCCUAGUCAUUUUCCCACUGCUUUCACACCAACUGAACUCUCUCCACAAACCUUAAACCCUUCGGAUUUCACCCAGGGACCAAAGCCCGGUCCCCUCUCCUUUUGGAUCCCUCAAAAUUCUCUAGGGUUUCUAUCAUUUCCCUCCAUUUGGGGGCUAUUCUGGGAUCUGUAUGUGGGCCUAGGAUUUGAGGCUCCUUUCUAGAGACCUACAGUUUCACAAGCAUCUAAAUCUGUUUGCCUUGGCUCUUUCUCCUCCACCUCUAAUUGGGUGGGGAAAACUUGCUCUACCUAACCAUAUAUUCUUUUGUAAUUUUUUA